GACGAACGCUGGCGGCGUGCCUAAUACAUGCAAGUAGAACGCUGAAGGAGGAGCUUGCUUCUCUGGAUGAGUUGCGAACGGGUGAGUAACGCGUAGGUAACCUGCCUGGUAGUGGGGGAUAACUAUUGGAAACGAUAGCUAAUACCGCAUAAUAGCAGUUGUUGCAUGAUAACUGUUUGAAAGGUGCAAUUGCACCGCUACCAGAUGGACCUGCGUUGUAUUAGCUAGUUGGUGGGGUAACGGCUCACCAAGGCGACGAUACAUAGCCGACCGGAGAGGGGGAUCGGCCACCCUGGGACUGAGACACGGCCCAGACGCCUACGGGAGGCAGCAGUAGGGAAUCUUCGGCAAUGGACGGAAGUCUGACCGAGCAACGCCGCGUGAGUGAAGAAGGGUUUCGGAUCGUAAAGCUCUGUUGUAAGAGAAGAACGAGUGUGAGAGUGGAAAGUUCACACUGUGACGGUAACUUACCAGAAAGGGACGGCUAACUACGUG
rnacentral:rRNA from 1 species